rnacentral:lncRNA from 1 species
GACAGUGAAACGCAAAAUGGCCCAGCAAGCACCGAAACAAUCACAAAGUCCAACAAAGAGCUGUACAAAUCUCCAAACAAUCACCACAGUAAAAGACGAGUUAUAACACAACAAAAUUAAGAACGCGCAAGUGAUUUAUAGAAUUUCCGUUUAAAAAUAUGAUGUUAGAAAAUUUAAUUGUUUCACAAUGCACAUAUCUUUUUAAAUUAGCAGCUAAGAUUUCC